GGUUUAAGGCCUUGACCACGGUGGGCACAUAGGUAUUGGUCGCAUUUAGACAGGAGAAUCCUCGUCCAGGAUUCUUGAAAUGGGAUUCUUGAAAUGGGAUUCUUGAAACCCAUUUUGCCAGGAUUCUUGAAAUGGGAUUCUUGAAACCUACAACUAACAAGAGCUGGCACGUAUGGAACAUAUGUAAUGCAGCAGAUACGGCUUCAAGAACUGGAAGAGACAGAUCCUGAUCAAAACCCUAUGUGUUCAAUGUAAUCAUGAUUCCUGCUUUACAGAUGAAGAAGCCGAAUCAGAGUAAAGAUAAAGGACUUCUCUAGAGUCAAGAGAUUAUUAGUUAUAGAGCCUCCUUUAUAUGCCUUAUGGCCUCCAAGAUAAAACAGAACUCCUAUAUUUUAACAAUUUGAGACACUUCUCUUCAGAAAUUAUUGGCACUUUGGGCCUGGCUUACUUCACUUAAUAUUUUUUCCAAGUCUUUCCAUUUCCUAACAAAUGGGGAAAUGUCAU